AACGAACGCUGGCGGCAGGCUUAACACAUGCAAGUCGAGCGAGACCUUCGGGUCUAGCGGCGGACGGGUGAGUAACGCGUGGGAACGUGCCCUUCUCUACGGAAUAGCCCCGGGAAACUGGGAGUAAUACCGUAUACGCCCUUUGGGGGAAAGAUUUAUCGGAGAAGGAUCGGCCCGCGUUGGAUUAGGUAGUUGGUGGGGUAAUGGCCCACCAAGCCGACGAUCCAUAGCUGGUUUGAGAGGAUGAUCAGCCACACUGGGACUGAGACACGGCCCAGACUCCUACGGGAGGCAGCAGUGGGGAAUCUUGGACAAUGGGGGCAACCCUGAUCUAGCCAUGCCGCGUGAGUGAUGAAGGCCUUAGGGUUGUAAAGCUCUUUCAGCUGGGAAGAUAAUGACGGUACCAGCAGAAGAAGCCCCGGCUAACUCCGUG
rnacentral:rRNA from 1 species